rnacentral:rRNA from 1 species
UACGUAGGGGGCAAGCGUUGUCCGGAAUCAUUGGGCGUAAAGAGCGUGUAGGCGGCCAGGUAGGUCUGCUGUGAAAACUCGAGGCUCAACCUCGAGAUGUCGGCGGAAACCAUCUGGCUAGAGUCCGGAGGAGGAGAGUGGAAUUCCUGGUGUAGCGGUGAAAUGCGCAGAUAUCAGGAAGAACACCCGUGGCGAAGGCGGCUCUCUGGGACGGUACUGACGCUGAGGCGCGAAAGCGUGGGUAGCAAACGGG